rnacentral:rRNA from 1 species
AGAGUUUGAUCAUGGCUCAGGAUGAACGCUAGCUACAGGCUUAACACAUGCAAGUCGAGGGGAAACGACAUCGAAAGCUUGCUUUUGAUGGGCGUCGACCGGCGCACGGGUGAGUAACGCGUAUCCAACCUGCCCACCACUUGGGGAUAACCUUGCGAAAGUAAGACUAAUACCCAAUGACGUCUCUAGAAGACAUCUGAAGGAGAUUAAAGAUUUAUCGGUGAUGGAUGGGGAUGCGUCUGAUUAGCUUGUGGCGGGGUAACGCCACAAGGCGACGAUCAGUAGGGGUUCUGGAGAGGAAGGUCCCCCANAUUGGAACUGAGACACGGUCCAAACUCCGUACGGGAGCA